rnacentral:rRNA from 1 species
UACAGAGGUCUCAAGCGUUGUUCGGAUUCAUUGGGCGUAAAGGGUGCGUAGGCGGCGCGGUAAGUCGGGUGUGAAAUCUCGGGGCUUAACUCCGAAACUGCAUUCGAUACUGCCGUGCUUGAGGACUGGAGAGGAGACUGGAAUUUACGGUGUAGCGGUGAAAUGCGUAGAUAUCGAUAAGGAAGACCAGUGGCGAAGGCGGGUCUCGUGGAC